rnacentral:rRNA from 1 species
UACGUAGGGUGCGAGCGUUGUCCGGAUUUAUUGGGCGUAAAGAGCUCGUAGGCGGUUUGUCGCGUCUGCCGUGAAAUCUCCACGCUUAACGUGGAGCGUGCGGUCGAUACGGGCAGACUUGAGUUCGGUAGGGGAGACUGGAAUUCCUGGUGUAGCGGUGAAAUGCGCAGAUAUCAGGAGGAACACCGGUGGCGAAGGCGGGUCUCUGGGCCGAUACUGACGCUGAGGAGCGAAAGCGUGGGGAGCGAACAGG